rnacentral:tRNA from 1 species
UCCCUGGAGGUCCAGUGGUUAAGACUCUGCACUCUCAAUGCGGGGGGCCAUGGGUUCGAUCCCUGGUCAGGGAA